UGCCAGCAGCCGCGGUAAUACGUAGGUGGCAAGCGUUAUCCGGAUUUAUUGGGCGUAAAGCGAGCGCAGGCGGUUUGAUAAGUCUGAUGUGAAAGCCUUUGGCUUAACCAAAGAAGUGCAUCGGAAACUGUCAGACUUGAGUGCAGAAGAGGACAGUGGAACUCCAUGUGUAGCGGUGGAAUGCGUAGAUAUAUGGAAGAACACCAGUGGCGAAGGCGGCUGUCUGGUCUGCAACUGACGCUGAGGCUCGAAAGCAUGGGUAGCGAACAGGAUUAGAUACCCUGGUAGUCCAUGCCGUAAACGAUGAGUGCUAGGUGUUGGAGGGUUUCCGCCCUUCAGUGCCGCAGCUAACGCAUUAAGCACUCCGCCUGGGGAGUACGACCGCAAGGUUGAAACUCAAAGGAAUUGACGGGGGCCCGCACAAGCGGUGGAGCAUGUGGUUUAAUUCGAAGCUACGCGAAGAACCUUACCAGGUCUUGACAUCUUGCGCCAACCCUAGAGAUAGGGCGUUUCCUUCGGGAACGCAAUGACAGGUGGUGCAUGGUCGUCGUCAGCUCGUGUCGUGAGAUGUUGGGUUAAGUCCCGCAACGAGCGCAACCCUUGUUACUAGUUGCCAGCAUUCAGUUGGGCACUCUAGUGAGACUGCCGGUGACAAACCGGAGGAAGGUGGGGACGACGUCAGAUCAUCAUGCCCCUUAUGACCUGGGCUACACACGUGCUACAAUGGACGGUACAACGAGUCGCGAACUCGCGAGGGCAAGCUAAUCUCUUAAAACCGUUCUCAGUUCGGACUGCAGGCUGCAACUCGCCUGCACGAAGUCGGAAUCGCUAGUAAUCGCGGAUCAGCAUGCCGCGGUGAAUACGUUCCCGGGCCUUGUACACACCGCCCGUCACACCAUGAGAGUUUGCAACACCCAAAGUCGGUG
rnacentral:rRNA from 2 species